UACAGAGGUCUCAAGCGUUGUUCGGAUUCAUUGGGCGUAAAGGGUGUGUAGGUGGCGCCGUAAGUCGGGUGUGAAAUUUCGGAGCUUAACUCCGAAACUGCAUUCGAUACUGCGGUGCUUGAGGACUGGAGAGGAGACUGGAAUUCAUGGUGUAGCAGUGAAAUGCGUAGAGAUCAUGAGGAAGACCAGUGGCGAAGGCGGGUCUCUGGACAGUUCCUGACGCUGAGGCGCGAAAGCGUGGGGAGCAAACAGG
rnacentral:rRNA from 1 species